rnacentral:rRNA from 1 species
UACGGAGGGGGCUAGCGUUUGUUCGGGAAUUACUGGGCGUAAAGCGCACGUAGGCGGCUUUGAUAAGUUAGAGGUGAAAGCCCAGGGCUCAACCCCUGGAAUUGCCUUUAAGACUGCAUCGCUAGAAUUGUGGAGAGGUAAGUGGGAAUUCCGAGUGUAGAGGUGAAAUUCGUAGAUAUUCGGAAGAACACCAGUGGCGAAGGCGGACUUACUGGACACAUAUUGACGC